AGGAGCUAAUUUGUGUCUUCUGAUUCCAAGCCUGGAGUUCUUCCCUGGACAGCAGCUUGCGUCUCGUGAGAGUGUGAGGAGGGAGGUCGUCCCUCGGUUGUGGUGCUCUCCGUGCAUCCCAAGGCUCAAGAGGACGGUAACGAUGGCCUCAUCUCAUCCCCUCACUGGGGCAGGAAUCCUUGUCAGGCACCUCGGACCAAUUGCCAGUCACCUCCACCUGCAUACUUGUUGUGACGGGGAGCUCACUCCUCGAAAGGUAGCCCCUUCUCUCCCUGGUUCGCUCUUGUGGAGAAAAAGUUCCUCUUUGGGUUGAGUUGAAGUCUGCAAUCGUUGGACACACAUCACACACGUUCCCGCUGUUCUCCGGGAUUUAAGGACAGCUUCAUGUCCCAGGUCAUCUUUGUUCCCACACUCCCUCCUCCUCCACCCGCCCCCAGAGUACCUGUCUCUGAUAUCCCUAUGAACUUUGCACAGGAUCAUUUUUAGAUUCUUCGUUCCCUGGAGUUCCACCCACUCCAGCUGGCCAGUGUCCCCCCUGCAAAAGAGCGGUGCCCGGAACAAACACAGCCAACCCCUGCGGAUGUGACCCGAGCGGGGCAAAGUGCGGGACAGGUUUCACCUCCUAUCAUCUACACUCUGUGACUCUAUUAGUGCAGCGCAAAAACAGUUGCAUCAAAUUUGCUCACUUGAAGCUUGUAUUUUAAGCAAACAUCCUGCAAUCUUUCUCACCUAAACUACAUCUGUGUCUCGUGUUUGUAAUUAGUUUAAAUGGACCCAAGUUAAGAAAUAUCAUGUAGCCAUCACCUUAGAAGGCAAGCUUUCAUGGGCUCUUCAUUAUAUGACCCUCCGUCCCUGGUUCAGGGACCGUUGUUAUGAUUUCUCUGAUACUUGCUUUCUUCCUGUGCUUAGUUUACUAUGUAUGCAUAAUGUUUAGUUUUGCCUGUUUGGGAACUAUAUAUAAAUGGGAUCAUGCUGUAUUGUAUUGCUUUGUGGUUUGCUUUUCCUCAAAACUAUUUGAGAUCCAUCUAUGUUGAAUAUGUAAGGGUAGUUUGUUCGUUAUUGUUGCUGUAUUCCACUGUAUGAAUAUUUAAAAAUUUAUUUAUCCUA